GAUGAACGCUGGCGGCGUGCCUAAUACAUGCAAGUCGAGCGAACAGACGAGGAGCUUGCUCUUCUGACGUUAGCGGCUGACGGGCGAGUAACACGUGGAUCACCUACCUCUAAUACUUGGAUAACUUCGGGAAACCGCAUCUACUACCGGCUAAUAUAUUCUACCGCAUGGUUCAAUAGUUCAAGACGGUUUUGCCGUCUCUUAUAGAUGGAUCCGCGCUGGAUUAGCUAGUUGGUAAGGUAACGGCUUACCAAGGCAACGAUGCGUAGCCGGCCUGAGAGGAUGAGCAGAGAAAAUGGAAGUGAGACACGGUCCAGACUACGACGGGAGGGAGCAGUGGGGAAUAGUGGAAAAUGGGAGCAAGCCUGAUACAGCCAUACAGCGUGGGUGAAGAAGGCCGUAGGGUUGUAAAGCCCUUUUGUUGGGAAAGAAAAGCAGCAGGGUAAUACCCCGCUGUUCUGACGGUACCCAAAGAAGAAGCACAGGCUAACUUCGUG
rnacentral:rRNA from 1 species